GCCCCGUUCGUCUAGCGGCCCAGGACGUAGCCCUCUCAAGGCUAAAACAGGGGUUCGAUUCCCCUACGGGGCA
rnacentral:tRNA from 1 species